GACAGAGGGUGCAAACGUUGUUCGGAAUCACUGGGCGUAAAGCGCGUGUAGGCGGCACGGCAUGUCGGAUGUGAAAUCCCAUGGCUCAACCAUGGAAGUGCACCCGAAACUGCCGAGCUCGAGUCUCGGAGAGGAAGGUGGAAUGCUUGGUGUAGAGGUGAAAUUCGUAGAUAUCUGGAGGAACACCGGUGGCGAAGGCGGCAUCCUGGACCGAUACUGACGCUGAGGAGCGAAAGCCAGGGGAGCAAACGGG
rnacentral:rRNA from 1 species